rnacentral:rRNA from 1 species
ACUCCUGCGGGAGGCAGCAGUGGGGAAUUUUGGACAAUGGGCGAAAGCCUGAUCCAGCCAUGCCGCGUGCAGGAUGAAGGCCUUCGGGUUGUAAACUGCUUUUGUACGGAACGAAACGGCCUUUUCUAAUAAAGAGGGCUAAUGACGGUACCGUAAGAAUAAGCACCGGCUAACUACGUGCCAGCAGCCGCGGUAAUACGUAGGGUGCAAGCGUUAAUCGGAAUUACUGGGCGUAAAGCGUGCGCAGGCGGUUAUGUAAGACAGUUGUGAAAUCCCCGGGCUCAACCUGGGAACUGCAUCUGUGACUGCAUAGCUAGAGUACGGUAGAGGGGGAUGGAAUUCCGCGUGUAGCAGUGAAAUGCGUAGAUAUGCGGAGGAACACCGAUGGCGAAGGCAAUCCCCUGGACCUGUACUGACGCUCAUGCACGAAAGCGUGGGGAGCAAACAGGAUUAGAAACCCGGGUAGUCCCAUGAU